AUGUCCACCUCCGCUGUUGUUUCCACCACCGGCCUCAACUACAAUAUCUCCGAGCCUCUCACCAGGACGAACUACGUCCUUUGGCGAGCUCAAGCCCGAUCCCAAAUAAUGGGCGCCUGCUUGUAUGGCUAUAUUGACAAAACCAUUGAGGAGCCUCCCAAGAACAUCGUCGCAAAGGAUGAAGAGGACAAGGAUCAGGUGGUGCCAAACCCUGCCUACGCCCCCUGGCUAGUCCAGGACUAG
rnacentral:rRNA from 1 species